AAUAAGUGUAGUUUUGCACUAUUUAUCUUCAAAGUUUAACCGUUCGUCUUAUUUGAAAUUUUUUUUAUGAUUACUAUUUUUAUUGUUAUUAGAUGAUAAAAUAUGAACAGUACUUUAUGUGUGACUAAUUUUUUUAAAAAUUUUUAUAAAUUUUUCAAAUAUGGCGGAUGGUCAAACGUUGGACACGGAUUUCGACGAUUGUGCUUAAU
rfam:Oryza glaberrima chromosome 4 Oglab04_0208_4, whole genome shotgun sequence.